rnacentral:rRNA from 1 species
UACGUAGGGUGCGAGCGUUAAUCGGAAUUACUGGGCGUAAAGCGUGCGCAGGCGGUUUGUUAAGCCAGAUGUGAAAGCCCCGGGCUCAACCUGGGAACUGCGUUUGGUACUGGCAAGCUAGAGUACGGCAGAGGGGGGUGGAAUUCCACGUGUAGCGGUGAAAUGCGUAGAGAUGUGGAGGAACACCAGUGGCGAAGGCGGCUCUCUGGACUGUAACUGACGCUGAGGCGCGAAAGCGUGGGGAGCAAACAGG